UACGGAGGAUGCAAGCGUUAUCCGGAAUGAUUGGGCGUAAAGCGUCCGUAGGUGGUCUUUCAAGUCUGCUGUCAAAGCGCGGGGCUUAACUCCGUAAUGGCGGUGGAAACUGAAAGGCUAGAGUGCGGUAGGGGUAGAGGGAAUUCCCGGUGUAGCGGUGAAAUGCGUAGAGAUCGGGAAGAACACCAGUGGCGAAAGCGCUCUACUGGACCGCAACUGACACUGAUGGACGAAAGCUAGGGGAGCGAAUGGG
rnacentral:rRNA from 1 species